CCAAGCACAUGGAUUUAGGUGAAGCUUCCAGUUACAGCACCUUUCAGAUGGUGAAUAUAUGCAGUUACAAGCUGCAGUUGCUAGUAGCCAAGUUCUCUGUCACAUUUAAGAACGCAGUCUGACGUAGAAGACAGAAUUUGAAUUUCAGGUCACAUAAGCAAAUGCUCAGAAAGUGUGGCUUCAUUUUUUCAUGCAACUGAAUGUAAUUUCUUCAAUGAGAUCUUGUUUUGCUAGCUGAUAGAAACUCAACCUCAAUGAAUUCAGGCUCCCAUUUCUUUUUUCCUUGAGUUCACAUCUAUUUCUAAGCAGGGGACAUGGGACAGAAGGAAGGCAUGGCCAGAAUAAGCAAAGGUUCUGAACUGCAGUUAUUUGUUGAAUUUGGCAUCUCCUUCCUCAUCCUGUCUGUUUUUCAAGUGUUGAUCUACAUGGAUCCAUGCCAAAAGUCACUUCAGGAUUAAUGGCUCUCCUUCCUGGCUCCUGAUGCCCUGCUGAAGUAUACUGAGGAGUGUUCUCCAGCACCACUCUGGGCUCUGGGUACCUUGGUGAAGCCCAGCAACAUGACUAUCCUAGGCUCAGGAACUGGUCUACUGCUCCUACACAUUGUUGAGUUUAAAUCCAGGGAAACGCAAUCAGGAAGGAGCUUGGAAGAUACUUCCGCAAGUCAUCAAAGAGGGUGGAAACCAAAAUACAAGCCCUGCAGCUUCAAAGGCACAGCCGCUGGCUGACAAGAACUUGUUUUUAGGCCCAAGGAUAAAAAUAUUCAGGAUGGGCGUUUUCCAUAAAAUGUUUAAGAAGAAAUGAAAAAUUAUAACAGAAUUAUUUGCAGCUGUAAGACACCUUUUCCAUCUUGAAGAGCUGCCAUUUCUAAUACCUCUUUUCCCUAAAAGCCAUUCCUACAGCAGCCCAGAUUGAAAUCACUAGGACUGAAAGGGGAAAAAUUCAGAAAACCCAAGUGAAUUCGUGAAAACAGACUCUACACCAAGAAAACAUAAAUUUAAGAAGUGCAAGGGAAUUUACUCUCACAGGAAAAGAAGCCUGGUAUAAUACAAUCCUCCUAGGAAAAUUCAUCCCAUCCCCAAGACAAGGCUCUAAAUAAAUUGUGUUAUCACUGUCAAAUUUUUAAGAUUUUCUGAACUAACAUUGGGACUACCAGAAAAUGUUAUGUACCUGUACAUGUUAAAAUGCUUCCCUUCAUUCUCUUACUUUGCAAGCUGUUUUUGACAGUUCUCUUUGGGUACGUGGACAGCAACAACAUUAGAAUCAAUGUUCUACUGGUUAUUUACUAAGUGCCCGGGACUGUGCUGGGUAUUUUAAGAAUGAGUAAUAGGUGCAAAAACAUACUUAGAUAAGAUUAAGAAGAUCUACUUUUGGUAGCACAGCAGGAUGACCAUAGUCAACAAUAAUUUAUUGUAUAUUUUUUAAUAGCUAGAUUGGGCAUGGUGGCUCACACCUAUAAUCCUAGCACUUUGGGAGGCUGAGGUGGGAGUAUUGCUUGAGCUCAGAAGUUUGAGACCAACCUGGGCAACAUGGCAAAACCCUGUCUCUACAAAAAAUACAAAAAUUAGCAAGGUAUGGUGGUGUGUACCUGUAGUCCCAGCCACUUGGGAGGCUGAGAUCAGAGGAUUGCUUGAACCCGGGAGGUUUAUUCAA
rnacentral:lncRNA from 1 species